GCCCUACACCCGUUAAGGCAUGAUGGCCUGUACCCGAAACCGACACAGGUGGGGUGGUAGAGAAUACCGAGGGGCGCGAGGUAACUCUCUCUAAGGAACUCGGCAAAAUGGCCCCGUAACUUCGGGAGAAGGGGUGCCACCGCAAGGUGGUCGCAGUGAAGAGGCCCAGGCGACUGUUUACCAAAAACACAGGUCUCCGCUAAGUCGCAAGACGAUGUAUGGGGGCUGACGCCUGCCCAGUGCCGGAAGGUUAAGGAAGCUGGUCAGCGCAAGCGAAGCUGGCGACUGAAGCCCCGGUGAACGGCGGCCGUAACUAUAACGGUCCUAAGGUAGCGAAAUUCCUUGUCGGGUAAGUUCCGACCCGCACGAAAGGCGUAACGAUCUGGGCGCUGUCUCGGAGAGAGGCUCGGCGAAAUAGAAUUGUCUGUGAAGAUGCGGACUACGUGCACCCGGACAGAAAGACCCUAUGAAGCUUUACUGUAGCUUGGUAUUGUGCCCGGGCUCUGAAUGCGCAGGAUAGGUGGGAGGCUUUGAUCCAUUGCUUGUGGGUGAUGGUGAGCCAACGGUGAGAUACCACUCUUUCAGAGCUAGGGUUCUAACGGUCACCCGUUAUCCGGGGACCGGACAGUAUCAGGUGGGCAGUUUGACUGGGGCGGUCGCCUCCUAAAAGGUAACGGAGGCGCGCAAAGGUUCCCUCAGGCUGGUUGGAAAUCAGCCGAUGAGUGUAAAGGCAGAAGGGAGCUUGACUGUGAGACCUACAAGUCGAACAGGGACGAAAGUCGGCCUUAGUGAUCCGACGGUUCUGAGUGGAAGGGCCGUCGCUCAACGGAUAAAAGUUACUCUAAGGAUAACAGGCUGAUCUCCCCCAAGAGUUCACAUCGACGGGGAGGUUUGGCACCUCGAUGUCGGCUCAUCGCAACCUGGGGCUGAAGUCGGUCCCAAGGGUUGGGCUGUUCGCCCAUUAAAGCGGUACGCGAGCUAGGUUCAGAACGUCGUGAGACAGUUCGGUCCAUAUCCGGUGCAUGCGCAGGAAUAUUGAGAGGAUUUCUCCCUAGUACGAGAGGACCGGGAGGAACGCACCUCUGGUGUACCAGUUAUCGUGCCAACGGUAAACGCUGGGUAGCCAUGUGCGGAGUGGAUAACCGCUGAAAGCAUCUAAGUGGGAAGCCCACCUCAAGAUGAGUAUUCCCAUGGCGUUAGCCAGUAAGGUCACGGGCAGAACACCCGUUGAUAGGCUCUACGUGGAAGCCGGGUAACCGGUGAAGCGGAGGAGUACUAAUAGACCGAGGGCUUGACC
rnacentral:rRNA from 1 species